rnacentral:rRNA from 1 species
CCUACGGGGGGCAGCAGUGGGGAAUAUUGCACAAUGGGCGCAAGCCUGAUGCAGCCAUGCCGCGUGUGUGAAGAAGGCCUUCGGGUUGUAAAGCACUUUCAGCGGGGAGGAAGGCGGUGAGGUUAAUAACCUCAUCGAUUGACGUUACCCGCAGAAGAAGCACCGGCUAACUCCGUGCCAGCAGCCGCGGUAAUACGGAGGGUGCAAGCGUUAAUCGGAAUUACUGGGCGUAAAGCGCACGCAGGCGGUCUGUCAAGUCGGAUGUGAAAUCCCCGGGCUCAACCUGGGAACUGCAUUCGAAGCGGGCGGGUUAGAGUCUGGGAGGGGGGGUAGAAUUCCAGGUGUAGCGGUGAAAUGCGUAGAGAUCUGGAGGAAUACCGGUGGCGAAGGCGGCCCCCUGGACAAAGACUGACGCUCAGGUGCGAAAGCGUGGGGAGCAAACAGGAUUAGAUACCCGAGUAGUC